CCUCCGCGGCCGGUCCCCCGCCGCCGCGGCCGCGGGAGUCGGUUCUUCCGGCCUGAGGCGGUGCCCGGCGCCUUCUGGCCGGAGUCCGCGCCGUGGUCGCGGGGGCUCGCGGGGCCUGGCCGCAGCUGCGGGUCUGCGGGGCGCGCCGCCCUGCAGCGGUGGGGUCCGCUGGGAUGAGCUCUGUUGGACCGUUAAAUCUGGAGUUGGGUUUCCCGAGUCCUUAAACUGCUUCUCUCUGAGAGGCCUGCAAAUACCUGAGCUCUGCCUUCUACGAAGUUUACCACCGGUUUACUUCUCUGAUCUUGUACAGGUAGACCAUUUAACAAGACCCCCACUGCGAAGGUUUCGCCUGUAUAAUCAUGAUUCUUUCCCGACACUGGCUCUCCUCUCAAUUUCUGUGACCAGUCUUACCAGUUUCUUUAAUUUUUCUCAUUCUUAGAUUUAUCCUAUUAAAAUUUAGGAUGGUAACUAAAUAUGUAAUGUGGUUGACUUAAAAAGUGAAGCUCGCCUUUAUCUCUAGCGUGCUGUCGUUUUGUUUUUGGAUUUUGGGUUUUUUUGCCUUUUAAAGUAUGGUCUGGAUUUCCACUCCCCACCGACAGACCACCUGCAUUCUCCAUGUGUAUACUGGAACAUGUUUCUCAUUUUACCAGGGGGUUCUCAGUUUAAGGAAAUUGCUUUUGACCUGGUCAGCUUUCUCUGUUAACCUAAAGUUAUUUUGCCUGUCUAUUUUGGUUUCUUAGCCAAAAAGAACACCCAUUCAAUACUGUACCCUGUCAGUAAGUAUUCACAAUGUCUUUCUCAACAGUCAGGAUCUGGACUUGUCUCCUCCCAGUUCUCUCCUCAUUUCCUGGUUCUUUCAGCUGCUGUGUGUGGGAUUCUGGCCACCUACCUACCUUACCAGGACCUCCCGCCUGGCGACCUCAGGACCCAGUGUAUCCCCAUGAGUGCAGGUGCCUUCAGAGACCAGAAGAGGAUGUCGGUGUCUGGAGCUGGAGUUAGAGGGAGUUGUGAGCCACUUGACACGGGUGCUCAGGAAGAGUCAAAAACCCUCCAAAACAGACAGACAGAACCCCCUGUUGUGAUGAAAUGCAAAAUGAAACCCUGCAGAUGUGAGGGAAUGAAGGCGGGCAUGGAACUCACCCGGCUAGUGCUAGUUUGAAGACACCCUGCCCCUGCAAAACCCCUCCUGCACUGGAGUUUAAUCUCGAUGGGAUUAAAGGAUGAUGAGGUGUUAGAGGCCAAUUAGAAUUCUCGAUACGCAAGACAGAAGAAUAACAUAAGUCAAGCUAUCUACACUUAGAAAAGAGCCCGUCGACCCCAGCGCCGGCCUGGACCGCAGAAGAGCCCGUUGACCCCAGCGCCGGCCUGGACUGCAGAAGAGCCUGUCGACCCCAGCGCCGGCCUGGACCGCAUGCUGUGCUUCCACCUGCGAGCUGGGAUAACAGGCGUGCACUGCCAUACCUCCUCCCAGCUCCUCCUCUUUAUAGCACCUUUCACAAUUAAGUAAAUUUAUAUGUUUAUGUUUUAUUUUUUGUUUGUUUGUUUUUUGAGACAGGGUUUCCUGUGUAGCUUUGCGCCUUUCCUGGAACUCACUCUGUAGACCAGGCUGGCCUCGAACUCACAGAGAUCCGCCUGGCUCUGCCUUCCGAGUGCUGGGAUUAAAGGCAUGCGCCACCACUGCCCGGCUAAACAUCUAUUUUCAUUAGAUGAUUAAUUUGAUAAUAACAAUUGUCUGAUGACAUAGCCAAGUACAUAGUAUUUGCUGAGUAAACAAAUAAAUCUAGGCAUGGUGGCACCUGCCUUUAAUCACAGUACUUGGGAGGUGGAGGCAGGAGAUCAGGAGUUCAAGGCCAGCCUGGGCUACUUAUUGAGUUUGAGGCUAGCUGCAGCUACUAGAGACUCUGACUUUAAAAUAGGCACUUUGAGUCCAUUCUCUUGUUUAUAUAGGAUAAUGAAUCACUCAGUAAUAGUGGGUCCUCACAUCAUCAUAACGUAGAUGAAGAUGGAUGAGUAUCGAUAUGGGAACUGUGGCUGGGUUUGCCCUCUGAAAUAGAGUUAGCAAAGGGCCUAGCAUGUGGCACACCUUGAAUCCCAGCACUUAGGCAGGAGAAGCAGGCAGAUCGACGUGAGUUCAAGGCCAGCCUGGUCUACAUAGAGAGUUCCAGUCAGGGGCCCUGUCCCAAACAAACAAAACAAAACGAAAAAGAAAAUGGUAGUUGACAAUCUUGGGAAGGACUUAGGAUGAGAUGGGAAGAAUAGCAACAGUCAGUGGAUGCAGUAGGUGAAGACAUCUGUAAGGUGGGCCAGAGACAUGCCUCAGAAGACUACGGAAAUACCCAUGUCCAUCGAGUCGAUCCACCCCCAUCCUGUGCCUGUGCACUCCCAGCCUCAUGUCAUCUUUGUCAGGUAUGUUCCUUUUCUGUCACUGGUCACUUGGUGGACACUGUCCUUUGAAUGUGCUUCUCUUGGUUUAUGCAAGAGUUCACUCUCUGAAGCCAUAACCGAAUGGGAACUUAAUCUAACUGUGAAGCACCCAAGGACUUAAUCUAACUGUGAAGCACCCCAUUUAGGAAGUGAUUGGGGGUUGGGGAUUUAGCUCAGUGGUAGAGCACUUGCCUAGCAAGUGAAAGGCCCUGGGUUCGAUCCUCAGUUCAAAAAAAAAAAAAAAUGAAAGGAAGGAAGUGAUUGGACUUGGCUUUGGUCUUUAAGGUGGAGCCCCUCACUGAAUCCUGGUGACUUUAUGAGAAUCGGAGGGGCUGGAGAGACUGCUCAGCAUUGAGAGUUGCUUGCUGCUCUUGCAGAAGACCUGAGUUCGGCUCCCAGCACCCAUAUGGGUGACUCACAGUGCUCUCGUAACUCCAGCUCCAGGGGACUGGAUGUCUCGGCCACAGACAGGGCUUCUCUGAGUAACAGCCCUGGCUGUCCUGGAACUCUCUCUGUAGACCAGGCUGGCCUCGAACUCACAGAGAUGCACCUGCCUCUGCCUCCCUCUGGACAAAACAUCCGUGAGCUGGAGCUGCUCAACUUUGAAGUGGAGGCGUCUACAAGCAGUGGGACGGCCGGGGCGGGUGAAUUCCGGAGCAGAACUGGAGCGGAAGAGGUGAGUUUGGAAGACGCCAGCAAAUGGGCGGCAACCGGGAGGGAGUAAGUGAGGCCAUAAAUUCCGUUCAGGGCGAUUGCAUCCAGCAAGAAGGGCAAAGGUUGAAGAGAAAGCACCAGAGGACCUGCGUUCCUAAAGCCAGGUGUGGUGGCUCACGCCAAUAAUCCCAGCACUUGAGAGCCUGAGGCAGGAGAAUUGAUGUGAGUUCAAAGCAUGUGCUACAUAGUGGGUUUCCUGCCGGCCUGAGCUACAGUGAGACUCUACUUCAGGAAACAAAACAAAGCAAAGUAAAAUAAAAACCAAAGCAGCAGCUGGAAGAAAAGCCACGGAAUACAUGAAGCAGACAGAAAAGGGAUUGCCAGAGAAGGGGGAGGGGCUUGGGCAGGCGGCCUCUAGGGACGUCAGACCGAGUAGGAGAGAGGGCAGGGCCAACUGGGUCAACUGUGCGGUCUGCUCACAGCCCACCUGAUGAGCAGAACAGAAAUACUGGGGAACCGUCUCAUGUUGAGAGUGAGGGAUUUUAACAAGUAUACAAGUGGGGACCCAGUGGCCCACGGCUUUUCAGGCGCAUUGGCUUGUCGCGGGUGGGGAGGCCGGGGCUUGGGAGCUGGCUCUCUGGGAAUGCCUCCGUGGAGAUUGUUGGUGACAGUGUAGAGUGGAGUGGUCACAGUGGCUGCACUUGUUUCCAUUUAUAGUAGGACUGUAGCCUAGGGAAGAAGGUGACCCAGCCCUGCCCACUCCUGACGAGGCUGGUGGUGGAGAACUUGGCCCCCUCCGUCUGGUUCCUCCCGCCUGAGUAACUCCGCAGUCGGACCCACCUGCUCCUAAGCCCUCCAGAGGAGCCCACUUCUGCUGUCCAGAAGAUCUCGGAAGUCUCUGCUGUCCCGGACACACUGCGUAUUUCCUGACCACAGUUCCUAGGUGCAAGGGGAGAAGGGCUUUGCCACAAGGUGACUUUAUUUGGAGUUUCCAUCCUAAUUCUGACCACACACAGAACAGCAUUCACCAAAGUGUGGGCCUGUGAGCAAAAGCCAGCCCACUGCCUGUUUUCAUGUCGCCUGGGUGCUAAGAAUGGUCUCACAUUUUUUAAAAUGAUUAUUUUAAAAAAGCAAGAAUGUUUCAUGACACAUGGAAAUGAUGUGAAAUUCACAUUUUAGUACCCAUAAAUAUAAAGAAUUAAGGACAGAACUUCAGGGAACAUCAGAAGAGAUCAACUAAGAGGGGUCCAGUCCUUGAGGGAGAGCAGCAGGAGAGGCCUGAGAAGCGUGGGGGCGGAGGCAGGGCAGAGCCGAGCCUUGUUCACGAUGUUUUCCUGGCAGCCAGAGAGGCUUUCUAUCUGUUCUUCACAGAAAGUUUGCAGACUCUGGUUUAGAAUUCCAGGUGGGUGGCUGGGGUUGUGGCUCCCAGAUAGAAUGCUUGUCUAGGGUGUGUGAGCCCUGGGUUCCACCUCCAGAACUGUAAGUAGAAGGAGGUUGUGUAGAGCAGCAGAUGGCUGUGUGCUGUGAGUCUCUCCUGUAGAGUGCAAGCCAUCUCCAGACUGUACCCCUGCCCUGAAACUGUCUCCUCAGCCAGAGGCCUGUAAACAGGCACACCGCACAUUGCUGUUCCACACUCGGGAGCUCUUGGUGUUGUUCUGUUCUGCAUUUGGCCACAGUCACUACUGGGAGGCAUUGAAAUAGGGCGCAGUUUGGCAUGUCUCAGAAACACUGACCAGACCAUGUGAACGAA